rnacentral:lncRNA from 1 species
AAGAAAGCCUGUACUUAUGCUUCACCAGGAGCAGUUCUCUGUCUAAAACUCUCUUAUUUUUGACAUUUAUCUGACUCAGUUUUAAGGCAUUAUUACUACAGGGUGAGCUGUUAUUCUUUGUCAUUAUUUCAGGACUGUCUUCAGGGUCUCUGGACAAGAUAAGAAACAGGAUAACAGCAAAAAGCUCAGUCUGGUAUUGUAAGGACCCUGAAGGGUGGUUUUCAGGAAGCUUCACCUACAGGAGACUGAAGCAGUUCAGCUUUGAGGAUGGAGGUGGAGAACAUCAAGGACUGAAGGUGUUUAUGGGAAGUGUGUUUAUGGAAAAGGCUUUUGAAUUGUUGUUGUUGUUUUGCAGACAAACCUGA